rnacentral:SRP_RNA from 1 species
GCCGGGUGUGGUGGCGCAUGCUUGUAAUCCCAUCUACUCAGGAGGCUGAGGCAGGAGAAUCACUUGAACUCAGGAGGUGGAGGUUGCAGUGAGCCGAGAUCGUGCCACUGCAGUCUAGCCUGGGUGACAGAGUAAGACUCGGUCUUUU